rnacentral:lncRNA from 1 species
UAUCUUUGUGUCGUUUGUAUUUAUUACCAGAUUGUUUGUAUACAUGAAGUCUAUAUCUAUAUCUAUAUCUAUACCUACUAUUAAAGGGAAUAGAUAUUCUUGGUUUGGUUCUGCUUUGUUUCGUCCCGUUUUGAGUAUUCUUGGUUUGGUUUCAUCCGUUCCCUGAUUUUUUUACGUUGUUCCCUCCCGUGCGUACGUACGUUGAUCGAUCUCUCCUCGCGUUGUUUUCUUUUUCCUGAGCCGACUCUGUGCGUGUUUUAGGUCGAUCGAUCUCUCCUCAGCUUUAUCCUGGGCCGCGCUCACAAACUGGGCUGUACAACACUUUUUUGGUCUAUUGAAAGCAGGCUAAAAUUAAAUGCACGGGCCGAAGAAAAAGAGGUUGAGUGGGAGGUCGAACUCAUGAUCUCACCUCCCCCCACCCUAAUGGCUUUCAACCAACUGAACAACUAAUGCCUGUCCAAGGAAUUUGGCUUGUUAUCUAAUUAAAUAGUACCACCUCGCCUUAUUAUACGAAAUUUCAAUAAUUUAUAUAGGUACAUGAAUUGCCCGAAAAUCAACAAGCUACCGGGAGGGUUAAUUGUGGGUGGAAAGGGAGAAAUUAACUCCACAAACAAAUCUUGUUGGGUGGCUGCACGUUUAAGUGGGGUGGGUGCUACUAGAUGAGCGACCCUCGGCUUACGAUUUUUGGACGAUGCUAUCGAUCGAACCAUGCAUGGAUAAGACCAAGUGCAGCACAACCGUUGGAUCAUGUGUCGUGUGAAAAUCAGGUAGGGAGUGUCGUGCGCCGAGUAGUUCCGUAGAGGAUUGACUAGCGAAGAGGGAGAGAGAGGCAUGGAAGCUUUAAGUGGGCCAAUUGUUGGCUAAGAGCUUUAAAAAUAGCUCCAAUUUUAUCACAACGGCUUAGAAUGGGAGAUUUAAAAUUAGGCCCUGGAAAAAUAGAACCGCCUUUUGAUUUAAAAUUAGUAGAAUGGUAUAUUUAUAUACCAUAGUCAAUGUAAUGAUUUGCUGCAGUUUGAUUUAUUCAUAUUUGGUGUGAUCAGACUUCUCGUACAAAAAUUAUACCAAAAGUAUCAUAUGUGUAAUAUGAUUCUUAAUGCGCCACCAAUAUACAUUUCUGCUAGACCAGUGUGUGCCUCUCUGCGGCCGUCAGGCGGCACCGUCCCGAUGUUUCUGUGACACGUUUUGGUGGACACCUCCCUGCUGUCGCCGAGUGGCACUGUCAGGAUGUUUUCAUUGUUGUGUCGAUGGACAUUUUGGUACACAUGUCAAUUAUCUCUCCCGGUGCAACGUACGGGCAUGUUUGCUAGUAUAUACUUACGGAUGCAAACAAAGAUAUCAUAAAUAUGUCACUCUCGGGCUGGGAAAUUGGUAGAUGAUAAUCUGGCAAAAUGCUUGUGAGCUUGGUUAGCAUGCUUGGCCUUUGUUGGAUAUAUUUUAGAUUACCUUUUCAAUUUAGUAAUUGCCCUACUGCAGCUAUCUAGAAUAUAUAAAAUACAGUU